rnacentral:rRNA from 1 species
UACGUAGGCAGCGAGCGUUGUUCGGAAUUACUGGGCGUAAAGAGUGUGUAGGCGGUGCUCUAAGUUCGGUGUGAAAUCUCCUGGCUCAACUGGGAGGGUGCGCCGGAAACUGGAGUGCUUGAGCGUGGGAGAGGAAAGCGGAAUUCCUGGUGUAGCGGUGAAAUGCGUAGAGAUGUGGAGGAACACCAGUGGCGAAGGCGCUUUCUGGUCUGUAACUGACGCUGAGGCGGCGAAAGCGUGGGGAGCAAACAGG